UGUUUUGCUCUUCUUGUGUCCAAAACCUUCGGUGCCUCCUGGCUGUGGAGGGAAACUUUUCCUCCUCAAUUAAAUCACCGAGAUUGUGAGCGAAGGCAAUGGGCUCAGAAAGGAUUUGUUUUCUUGGGAAUUGAGAUCAUGGCAAGCAGGAAAAGAGCUCAAGCAGGUAACACAACAAAUCCUGGGGCUCACACCAGAUUUCAAGGAUAAUAAUGAAGAAACUAAAGAUAUUUUCAAGGAUAAUGAAGAAACCACAGACAUUUUCAAGCUUCACACCCUUAAUUUCGAUGUUUUGGCACCCAGGAGCACAGAAAACAGGGCAUUCCUGAGCAGAAUUAAUUGCACUUAAAAGGAAAUGUGUGUGCACUGGAUAAGCUUCUCUAUCAUGGGGGACAGAAAAUCCAAAAACGGAUUUCCAGGUAAGAUUUCUUAUUUUUUCUAACAUUUGUUUUAUGAAACUAGCGAAUAGUUUUAUAAUUUAUAAAAGUUUUA
rnacentral:lncRNA from 1 species